GAUGAACGCUGGCGGCGUGCCUAAUACAUGCCAGUCGAGCGAACGGACGAGAAGCUUGCUUCUCUGAUGUUAGCGGCGGACGGGUGAGUAACACGUGGAUAACCUACCUAUAAGACUGGGAUAACUUCGGGAAACCGGAGCUAAUACCGAAUAAUAUUUUGAACCGCAUGGUUCAAAAGUGAAAGACGGUCUUGCUGUCACUUAUAGAUGGAUCCGCGCUGCAUUAGCUAGUUGGUAAGGUAACGGCUUACCAAGGCAACGAUGCAUAGCCGACCUGAGAGGGUGAUCGGCCACACUGGAACUGAGACACGGUCCAGACUCCUACGGGAGGCAGCAGUAGGGAAUCUUCCGCAAUGGGCGAAAGCCUGACGGAGCAACGCCGCGUGAGUGAUGAAGGUCUUCGGAUCGUAAAACUCUGUUAUUAGGGAAGAACAUAUGUGUAAGUAACUGUGCACAUCUUGACGGUACCUAAUCAGAAAGCCACGGCUAACUACGUG
rnacentral:rRNA from 1 species